rnacentral:rRNA from 1 species
CAGCAGCCGCGGUAAUACGUAGGGUGCAAGCGUUAAUCGGAAUUACUGGGCGUAAAGCGUGCGCAGGCGGUUUGUUAAGACAGAUGUGAAAUCCCCGGGCUCAACCUGGGAACUGCAUUUGUGACUGGCAGGCUAGAGUAUGGCAGAGGGGGGUGGAAUUCCGCGUGUAGCAGUGAAAUGCGUAGAUAUGCGGAGGAACACCGAUGGCGAAGGCAGCCCCCUGGGCCAAUACUGACGCUCACGCACGAAAGCGUGGGGAGCAAACAGGAUUAGAUACCCGGGUAGUCCCUGUCUCUUAUAC